rnacentral:lncRNA from 1 species
UGGGUCUCAGGAUGCAGUGAGUAGCUGAUGUCAUGGUUCAGCAGGCUGUCAGUGGCCUGGGACUGUCCUGCAUGACUUUUGCUUCUGCUGUGUUAUCCAGCCUCAAUUCUGCCUACUUUUUAUCCUGCAUGGCUUGGAACUGGAAUCUGUCAUCACUGGCCUCUGCUUGGUGUUUGUUUCAGACACUUGCAUUGGAACUCAGCCCUGUAAGACAGAAAUCAAGUAUAUUGGGCUUAUGUGGCAAGGCUUCGGAAGCAGGGGAGCUGCAGGAGUGGCCUCUGAGAAGAGCUCAGAAGCUGCCCCAUCUUAGGGAAGAAAGAGCCAGCUCCAAAAGGGACCCACUGCUGGCCAUAGCUGAGCCAGUGAGCGAUGUUGGUUGUGCCUCUGGGAGAGCAGAUUUAAGAAAGGGAAAAGAAAACUGCUGCACAACAGCAGCUGGGAGAGCGAGGAGUGAGAACCAGUCCUGCAGCCCCCAAGGUCAGUGCAGCAGGAGGGCAGGAGGUGCUUUGAGGCACCAGAGCAGCAGUUCCCCUGCGGCCUGUGGAGAGGCCCCUGGUGGAGCAGGCUGUCCCCCUGCAGCCCAUGGGUCCCACACGGAGCAGAUCUCCACGCUGCAGCCUGUGGAGGAGCCCCCGGUGGAGCAGGUGGAUGUGGCCUGGAGGAGGCUGCGGCCCAUGGAGAGCCCCCGCAGGAGCAGGCCCCGGGCCGGAGCUGCAGCCCGUGGACAGGAGGCCAC